rnacentral:lncRNA from 1 species
UUCAAUUCUCCUUACUAUUCAAAAAUUCAGAAAUAAGGCAAUAUCCAAUAUUUAGGAAUUCGGGAAAUCGUACCCUACCGUGCUGGGUAUGAUUUUUCGGUGAACUAAAUAUUUAGAUAUCCUUUUAUAAAUUUUAGAGUACGAGUUUUUGAAAGUUAAAAAUCAAUCAUAUUUUUGAAGGUAUAAAGAAUCAUAUCCAAUCGUGCUGGGUAUGAUGCUGCAUAUCUUUG